GACGAACGCUGGCGGCGUGCUUAACACAUGCAAGUCGAACGGGAUAAUUUGAGAGCUUGCUCUUAGAGAAUCUAGUGGCAAACGGGUGAGUAACACGUAGACAACCUGCCGACAGGAUGGGGACAACGUUCCGAAAGGAAUGCUAAUACCGAAUGAAGUCGAGGGAGGGCAUCCUCUCUCGAUGAAAGAUGGCCUCUUUUUAUGCUAUCACCUGUCGAUGGGUCUGCGUCUGAUUAGCUGGUUGGUGAGGUAACGGCUCACCAAGGCGACGAUCAGUAGCCGGUCUGAGGGGAUGAACGGCCACAUUGGGACUGAGACACGGCCCAGACUCCUACGGGAGGCAGCAGUGGGGAAUCUUCCGCAAUGGGCGCAAGCCUGACGGAGCAACGCCGCGUGAGUGAAGAAGGUCUUCGGAUCGUAAAGCUCUGUUGAUGGGGACGAACGUGCGAAGGGUGAAUAAUCCUUGUAAUGCCGUACCAUCGAGGAG
rnacentral:rRNA from 1 species